AGAGUUUGAUCCUGGCUCAGGAUGAACGCUGGCGGUGUGCCUAAUACAUGCAAGUCGAGCGAACGGACGAGAAGCUUGCUUCUCUGAUGUUAGCGGCGGACGGGUGAGUAACACGUGGAUAACCUACCUAUAAGACUGGGAUAACUUCGGGAAACCGGAGCUAAUACCGGAUAAUAUUUUGAACCGCAUGGUUCAAAAGUGAAAGACGGUCUUGCUGUCACUUAUAGAUGGAUCCGCGCUGCAUUAGCUAGUUGGUAAGGUAACGGCUUACCAAGGCAACGAUGCAUAGCCGACCUGAGAGGGUGAUCGGCCACACUGGAACUGAGACACGGUCCAGACUCCUACGGGAGGCAGCAGUAGGGAAUCUUCCGCAAUGGGCGAAAGCCUGACGGAGCAACGCCGCGUGAGUGAUGAAGGUCUUCGGAUCGUAAAACUCUGUUAUUAGGGAAGAACAUAUGUGUAAGUAACUGUGCACAUCUUGACGGUACCUAAUCAGAAAGCCACGGCUAACUACGUGCCAGCAGCCGCGGUAAUACGUAGGUGGCAAGCGUUAUCCGGAAUUAUUGGGCGUAAAGCGCGCGUAGGCGGUUUUUUAAGUCUGAUGUGAAAGCCCACGGCUCAACCGUGGAGGGUCAUUGGAAACUGGAAAACUUGAGUGCAGAAGAGGAAAGUGGAAUUCCAUGUGUAGCGGUGAAAUGCGCAGAGAUAUGGAGGAACACCAGUGGCGAAGGCGACUUUCUGGUCUGUAACUGACGCUGAUGUGCGAAAGCGUGGGGAUCAAACAGGAUUAGAUACCCUGGUAGUCCACGCCGUAAACGAUGAGUGCUAAGUGUUAGGGGGUUUCCGCCCCUUAGUGCUGCAGCUAACGCAUUAAGCACUCCGCCUGGGGAGUACGACCGCAAGGUUGAAACUCAAAGGAAUUGACGGGGACCCGCACAAGCGGUGGAGCAUGUGGUUUAAUUCGAAGCAACGCGAAGAACCUUACCAAAUCUUGACAUCCUUUGACAACUCUAGAGAUAGAGCCUUCCCCUUCGGGGGACAAAGUGACAGGUGGUGCAUGGUUGUCGUCAGCUCGUGUCGUGAGAUGUUGGGUUAAGUCCCGCAACGAGCGCAACCCUUAAGCUUAGUUGCCAUCAUUAAGUUGGGCACUCUAAGUUGACUGCCGGUGACAAACCGGAGGAAGGUGGGGAUGACGUCAAAUCAUCAUGCCCCUUAUGAUUUGGGCUACACACGUGCUACAAUGGACAAUACAAAGGGCAGCGAAACCGCGAGGUCAAGCAAAUCCCAUAAAGUUGUUCUCAGUUCGGAUUGUAGUCUGCAACUCGACUACAUGAAGCUGGAAUCGCUAGUAAUCGUAGAUCAGCAUGCUACGGUGAAUACGUUCCCGGGUCUUGUACACACCGCCCGUCACACCACGAGAGUUUGUAACACCCGAAGCCGGUGGAGUAACCUUUUAGGAGCUAGCCGUCGAAGGUGGGACAAAUGAUUGGGGUGAAGUCGUAACAAGGUAGCCGUAUCGGAAGGUGCGGCUGGAUCACCU
rnacentral:rRNA from 1 species